ACACCGUUCAAUUUGUGCGACAGAAACUUAUGCAGCUUCCGUCUCACGCUAUUGUAUGGAAACGGUUGAAUACCGCUUGUAGUUACUUUCUUGCCCUAGAGUUGAACUAGUAAAAGGUGCCCAUGUUGCGAGUGCAGUCGUAACGCUUUGGCGUUGGAUCCGAGCCCAUGGAGAAAGUUGGAGCUGUAGAGCUGUAUGUUUCUGGACAAAGUCAUCAAUUCCAUUGCUCUUCCUAUGCCAAGUGGCCAGGAUAAUGGUUGAAAUUGCUACAAUAAAGGUUAUGAUCAACAAC